CGCCGGGCAAUCAAGGAUUUGAUGGCAAGAGGUUCGAUCAGGAUGAUAUCUGCUCAUGCUAGUCAGCAGAUUUACACCAGAGCUACAAAUACCUAGAUGGAAACCAACUGUAGAAUGUUUUACUCUAGCUAGUCUUACGGAUUUGGAUCUGAUUUGCUUUGUUAUCUUAAUGCUUAAGCCAUUCAAGUUCUUUCUGUUUAGUACUUGUUAUUUGAGGCUGUUGAUGGGGAAUGGUAUUUUAUUUUAGCUGCCUGUUGAACUUGAUUAUUAUGAUGAAUGAUUUUGCC
rnacentral:lncRNA from 1 species